GGAUAUGGCGGAACUGGCAGACGCGCCAGACUUAGGAUCUGGUGCGCCACCGUGCAGCUUCGCUUCCUGUUAUCCCCC
rnacentral:tRNA from 1 species